rnacentral:miRNA from 1 species
UUAGAUACUCCCUAUAUCCAGU